CUGAGGAGAGGGGCCUUGGAGGCAGCCACAUACAGACAUGGAGGAGAGGCCGCACACUGGGUCAGAGCCGGGGAAACAGAACAGGGGUGCGGAGGACCCCUUGCAUCACCUAGGACCCGUCUGGCCAGCCACUGUAGGCUCCUCUGCUUGGCCCCACGGCCUCGCCAGGGCCUUCUGUGGCCCCGCCCCUCUUGGCCGGCUGUCCACACACCCUCCACCCUGGGGGCAGCUGGGCUCAGAUUUGGGAGCAUCCUGGAACAGAGGGGACCCCCUGUGUGUCUCCUGUCCCUGAAUCCUGUCCUUCCCUUCUGCACCUGCCUGACUUUGGGGGCCUGCAAGAGCAAGAGCCCCUCGCCCAUGGAGUUCACCUCCUGCCACCCUGUGCUCCUGAGGGCGGGAAGGGAGGAGCAGCCCAGGCCUCUAGUUCUUGUUUCAGAUGAGGGUUGGACGUGGCUGCUGAGGUCCCCAGUUGGCCCCACGCUGACACUUUACGGACAACACGGCAGAGACCCCCACCGCCUGAGAGAAUGCAAAGGUCCCACUGCGGGGACCUUCCUUCUGCCCCGCCCCCGCCCCACAGGUCCCCAGCAGCGGCACCUUUCUGCGUGUGUGUGACCGAUUCGUUCACGUCGACUCCUCCCCUGGACAGAGGCUUCUGGAAAACUAAAGUUGGCCCCUUGGUUCCCCCCUUGCCAGGCAGGGCUGGCCCUCAGAGCCUGGUGGAUGAACAGACCAGGAGGGAAGUUUGGGAACACCCGGCUCAGAGAUGAGAAGAGAGGGUGGAUCAGCCGCCACAUGGCAAAGCCAUGGGCCAGCUCUCCCUGCCACGGCCAGUGGACCCGGGACUUGGGUUCUCCAGCAUGGGCCCAGGCGGCUCGGAGCAGGGGCUGCUUCCCUCCGGCCCUUUCCCCGAAGCCCGCUCCCUUCUCCACCCCCGUCCCUGCCCACUCCCCGCAGGCCGGGGUGCACUUGGAGCCCCGAGGACCUCCGAGGCUGUCGCCACCCUCCUCUGUUCUGACUGCUUUCUAUUACUGGGCUUGUAAAAUGAUUAUUGUUUUGCUGUGGUAAGAUGUACAUAAUAUAAGAUUUACCUGUUUUUUUUGUUUGUUUGUUUGUUUUCGUUUUUGAUUUUUUUUUUUUGAGGCAGGGUUUCAGUCUGUCCCCCAGGCUGCAGUGCAGUGGCACAAUUUUGGCUUACUGCAGCCUCGAACACCUGGGUUCAAGCAAUCCCCCCACCUCAGCCCCCCAAGUAGCUGGGACUAUAAGCAGGUGCCACCACAUCCGGCUUUUUUGUAGAGAUGAGGUUUCUCUGUGUUGCCCAUGCUGGUCUUGAACCCUGGCACUCAAGUGACCCUCACACCUCCCAGCACCUCAGCCUCCUAGAGUGCUAGGCUUGCAGGCGUGAGCCACUGCGCCUGGCUAAAUUUU
rnacentral:lncRNA from 10 species